rnacentral:rRNA from 1 species
GGGAACCUUACCUGGGCUCGAACGUAAGAUGACUGUAGGUGAAAGCUUACAUCUCUUCGGAGCAUUUUACGAGGUGCUGCAUGGUUGUCGUCAGCUCGUGCCGUGAGGUGUCGGGUUAAGUCCCAUAACGAGCGCAACCCCUACCUUUAGUUGCCAUCAGGUUAAGCUGGGGACUCUAAAGGAACUGCCUACGCAAGUAGUGAGGAAGCGGGGAUGACGUCAAAUCAGCACGGCCCUUACGUCCAGGGCUACACACGUGCUACAAUGGCCGAUACAGAGGGCAGCUACCUGGUGACAGGAUGCAAAUCUCCAAAGUCGGUCUCAGUUCGGAUCGGAGUCUGCAACCCGACUCCGUGAAGUUGGAUUCGCUAGUAAUCGCGCAUCAGCCAUGGCGCGGUGAAUACGUUCCCGGGCCUU